UAUAAAAGCUUAGAAGCCAAAGCUUAACUGUCUGACACAAUUUGAGCUUGCUAUAGCAAGAAAGUCUAACCUAUUCCAGUGUUCUCUUCCUCAUGAGACAAGCUGUUACAUAGACUCAAACAAU